AUUGAACGCUGGCGGAAUGCUUUACACAUGCAAGUCGAACGGCAGCACGGACUUCGGUCUGGUGGCGAGUGGCGAACGGGUGAGUAAUAUAUCGGAACGUAUCCAAUAAUGGGGGAUAACUAAUCGAAAGGUUGGCUAAUACCGCAUACGCCCUACGGGGGAAAGCUAGGGACCUUCGGGCCUGGCGUUAAUGGCGCGGCCAAUAUCUGAUUAGCUAGUUGGUGGGGUAAAGGCCCACCAAGGCGACGAUCAGUAGCUGGUCUGAGAGGACGACCAGCCACACUGGAACUGAGACACGGUCCAGACUCCUACGGGAGGCAGCAGUGGGGAAUUUUGGACAAUGGGCGAAAGCCUGAUCCAGCCAUUCCGCGUGAGUGAAGAAGGCCUUCGGGUUGUAAAGCUCUUUCGCAAGGGAAGAAAACUUAGAUACUAAUAUUAUCUGAGGUUGACGGUACCUUGAUAAGAAGCACCGGCUAACUACGUGCCAGCAGCCGCGGUAAUACGUAGGGUGCGAGCGUUAAUCGGAAUUACUGGGCGUAAAGCGUGCGCAGGCGGUUUUGUAAGUCAGAUGUGAAAUCCCCGAGCUCAACUUGGGAACUGCGUCCGAAACUACAAGACUAGAAUAUGUCAGAGGGGGGUAGAAUUCCAAGUGUAGCAGUGAAAUGCGUAGAGAUUUGGAGGAAUACCGAAGGCGAAGGCAGCCCCCUGGGAUAAGACUGACGCUGAGUCACGAAAGCGUGGGUAGCAAACAGGAUUAGAUACCCUGGUAGUCCACGCCCUAAACGAUGUCUACUUGCUGUUGGGGGUGAAACCUUAGUAGCGAAGCUAACGCGAGAAGUAGACCGCCUGGGGAGUACGGUCGCAAGAUUA
rnacentral:rRNA from 1 species